UCAAAAGCCACCCUUCCAAGGUAACCUAUAAAUACAUCAACAAUUCACCAUUUUCAGCCCUUCAAUACUUAAACAAGCAUGGAGUCAACAUUAGCAUGAGUGGCUACGCAUUUUGUAAUCACACCUAGGUUUACUCAUGGCACUCCUUUUGAUAGUGUUGUUCAGUCUAAUUUCAGCAAGUAAGCCCAUGAAACACUCGUGUAAGCAAGGGGACUACAAUUAGGAACGCUCUCAAAUACCUUGGAUGAUCAUAAGACGAGCCGAUACUGAAUACCAAAAUGGGUGAAAAAAUGAGUACUGAACUUAUGCAUGUAUGCCAUUUGAUUUGUUAAUCCAUAAGACCAUAACUAAAUUCAUCUCAAGUUUUAUGUUUCAUGUAUGCAGACCAUAAGCUAAUGAAUGAGUUUUAUACCACAAUGUCAUCUUUAUGUAUGUAUGUAUGUAUGUACUCCAACUCUGCCAUUUCUAUUAGACUUUUGUCCCAGUUUUGCCAAUUAUCA